GUUUACAUUCACGAGAGAGUAUUGAAAUGUUGAAAGUAAGCAAAGAAGGAUUUUGAUUUAAUGUGAAUAAGGGUAAUAAGAGAUAUGAUUGGUAUUAUUAAAUUUGCCUAUAUUAAAAUGUAUGAUAUAUUGAUGCCACACAAUUAAUGUAUUGAUGUGU